rnacentral:piRNA from 1 species
GGGAUGCUGGAAGAAGAUUUGAUU